GCCUAGCUAGCUCAGUCGGAAGAGCAUGUGACUCUUGAUCUCAGGGUCAUGAGUUUGGGUCCCACACUGGGUA
rnacentral:tRNA from 1 species